UACGGAGGAUGCGAGCGUUAUCCGGAUUUAUUGGGUUUAAAGGGUGCGUAGGCGGGCUGUUAAGUCAGCGGUAAAAGCCCGGGGCUCAACCGUGGAAUUGCAGUUGAAACUGGAAGACUUGAGUGUGUUUGAGGUAGGCGGAAUGCGUGGUGUAGCGGUGAAAUGCAUAGAUAUCACGCAGAACUCCGAUUGCGAAGGCAGCUUACUAAGCCAUAACUGACACUGAAGCACGAAAGCGUGGGUAUCGAACAGG
rnacentral:rRNA from 1 species